AUAAUGAUGCAAAUAAUGCUGAUCGGAAUUGUGGUCCGUUAUCCGAUAUUAAAAUUUCUGGGACUCCAAAUAGCAGAAAAAUCAUAGAUUCGACAAACGUUACCACGGUAGUUGUUUUUGCUUCACGAAGUGGUUGAAUAAUCACAAACUUUGAAAAGUGGUCUGUGAUCACCAUCAACACCGUGUUUCCAUUUUUCGAUCUAGGAAAUGGGCCCAUAAAAUCGAUUGAUAUAACUUGCCAAGGCAUGCUCGCUACUUUCUGUCGACCAAUUGGUGGGACACGUGGUGCAGUCGGAUGCUUGGACGUUUUGCACGUGUCGCAACCUUUACAGAAUCUUUUUAUUUCAACGGACAUUCCUGGCCAGUAGUAUCGUUCCUGGAUCUUUUUGAGUGUUUUAGUGUAUCCAAAAUGUGAGUUGCUGUGCUCGUCUUCCAUAAUUUGUAGCCGAUCUGAUCUGGGUGGCACAAAUUUCCAGACAAAGUACGCGUCAGUCGGAUCGUUAGAUGUCACAUAUUUGAAAACGUUUCCCCGUACAACCUUGAAGUCUUUAUACUUCAGAGGAUUUUGGAUAACCACUUUCUUCAAGUUUUCAUGAUCUAAAUCCGCUGUUUAUGUUGUGUUGCUGUAGUUUCAAGGCCCAGCGAACCAAUCUGGCGGAAUUUCCUUCAAUGCUGACUUGAUUUAGCCAUUUCAAUGACUGUGCAUCCGUGACUACCGUAAAAUUGGUGCCUUCCACUGGCUGAAUAUUUCUGUUGAGUCGAAGAAAACUUUUUGGAGAAAUAGGCGAUUGGUCGUCGGGUUCCCUCUUGGACUUGAACCAAUACUGCCCCUGCUGCUACUGUUGAUGCAUCCGACUCGAUAAUGAAAGGAAGAUCGAAAUUUGGAUUUGCUAAAAUAGGCGGCGACGUGAGUAUACUUUUUAUUUCAUUGAAUGCCUUUUCAGCUUCUUCAGUCC